rnacentral:rRNA from 1 species
CGAUUCCCGGCCUCCCGUCGCCUCCGGGCUUCGGGGUCAAGGUCGGCGCGCUCCGCUUUGGUGACUCUGGAUAACUCACUGGUCGAUCGCACGGGCUCCACGCCCGGCGACGGGUCC